rnacentral:rRNA from 1 species
AUUGAACGCUGGCGGCAUGCUUUACACAUGCAAGUCGAACGGUAACAGGCCUUCUGGUGCUGACGAGUGGCGAACGGGUGAGUAAUGCAUCGGAACGCACCCAGAGGUGGGGGAUAACGCAGCGAAAGCUGUGCUAAUACCGCAUGUGAUCUGAGGAUGAAAGCGGGGGACCGAGCAGCAAUGUUUGGCCUCGCGCCUUUGGAGCGGCCGAUGUCGGAUUAGCUAGUUGGUGGGGUAAAGGCCUACCAAGGCGACGAUCCGUAGCUGGUCUGAGAGGACGACCAGCCACACUGGGACUGAGACACGGCCCAGACUCCUACGGGAGGCAGAAGUGGGGAAAUUUGGACAAUGGGCGCAAGCCUGAUCCAGCAAUGCCGCGUGCGGGAAGAAGGCCUUCGGGUUGUAAACCGCUUUUGGCAGGAACGAAACGGUGUCCGCUAAUACCGGGCGCUAAUGACGGUACCUGCAGAAUAAGCACCGGCUAACUACGUG